UACGUAGGGGGCAAGCGUUGUCCGGAUUUAUUGGGCGUAAAGAGCGUGUAGGCGGCCAGGUAGGUCAGCUGUGAAAACUCGAGGCUCAACCUCGAGACGUCGGUUGAAACCACCUGGCUAGAGUCCGGAAGAGGCGAGUGGAAUUCCGGGUGUAGUGGUGAAAUGCGCAGAGAUCCGGAGGAACACCAGUGGCGAAGGCGGCUCGCUGGGCUCUACCUGACGCUGAGGCGCGAAAGCGUGGGGAGCGAACCGG
rnacentral:rRNA from 1 species